rnacentral:lncRNA from 12 species
GGACAGGUUUGGGGCAUCAUUUUCAGUUUAAUAAUAUGUUCUCAUAUUUGACAUGAUUUAGAAAAACAAAUGGAGGAUUUCAGUGUAUUUAAAUACCUCAGUCCUCUGGUAAAGCACAUCAUCUCUUAGGGCUUCAGAACUUUGGCCUCUGACUCCUGAGUCUUCUCUCUGCUAACAGGAAUCAGCCAAAUAUGAAGAUCUUUGUCUUUGCCUUUGUCAUGGCCCUCAUGAUUGCCAUGAUUGGAGCUGAUUCAUCUGAAGAGAAUCUUCUUUACCGUCCAUAUCCACGAUUUUAUCCUUACCCUGCUUGGUGGAAAGUCCUAUUUGCUUUCUUACUCAAAAUGAUUCUUCCUAAAGAAAAAUCCUUUAAUCAUCUAGUAACACUUAUUAGCCCCAAUACACCACAUACACCCAAAGUAUUUGUAAAAUUAUGUUUUGGAAUUUAAUUUUUUAAAUUGCAUUAUAUUAUGCGCUAUAUCACAAUUUUAAAAUAAUUGGAUCGAUCAUAAUUUCUAGAUUUUCCGUAAGAAAAAAGAAAUCUAAUCAAAUAAUGUUACAUGGACAACACACACCAGAGAUUAAUGAUCAAUAUUUUGAAAAUAGUAAUAGUAGUCUCUGAACUAUUGGAAAAUCUCCUUUUCUCCUCUGUGUUAAUAACAUCAUAAAAAUGUUUAAAAACCUUAUGCAUAAUAAACUGAUUAUCAAGCAUAUACA